rnacentral:rRNA from 1 species
GACGAACGCUGGCGGCGUGCCUAAUACAUGCAAGUCGAACGCUAAAGGAGGAGCUUGCUUCUCUGGAUUAGUUGCGAACGGGUGAGUAACGCGUAGGUAACCUGCCUGGUAGCGGGGGAUAACUAUUGGAAACGAUAGCUAAUACCGCAUAACAUUAGAUAUCUCAUGAUAUGUACUUGAAAGGUGCAAUUGCAUCACUACCAGAUGGACCUGCGUUGUAUUAGCUAGUUGGUGUGGUAACGGCUCACCAAGGCGACGAUCCGUAGCAGACCUGAGAGGGUGAGCGGCCACACUGGGACUGGGACACGGCCCAGACUCCUACGGGAGGCAGCAGUCGGGAAUCUUCGGCAAUGGACGGAAGUCUGACUGAGCAACGCCGCGUGAGUGAAGAAGGUUUUCGGGUCGUAAAGCUCUGUUGUGAGAGAAGAACGAGUAUCAGAGUGGAAAGUUCACACUGUGACGGUAUCUGAACAGAAAGCGACGGCUAACUACGUG